rnacentral:rRNA from 1 species
AUUGAACGCUGGCGGCAGGCCUAACACAUGCAAGUCGAGCGGAUGAAGAGAGCUUGCUCUCUGAUUCAGCGGCGACGGGUGAGUAAUGCCUAGGAAUCUGCCUGGUAGUGGGGGACAACGUUUCGAAAGGAACGCUAAUACCGCAUACGUCCUACGGGAGAAAGUGGGGGAUCUUCGGACCUCACGCUAUCAGAUGAGCCUAGGUACGAUUAGCUAGUUGGUGAGGUAAAGGCUCACCAAGGCGACGAUCGUUAACUGGUCUGAGAGGAUGAUCAGUCACACUGGAACUGCGACACGGUCCAGACUCCUACGGGAGGCAGCAGUGGGGAAUAUUGGACAAUGGGCGAAAGCCUGAUCCAGCCAUGCCGCGUGUGUGAAGAAGGUCUUCGGAUUGUAAAGCACUUUAAGUUGGGAGGAAGGGCAGUAAGUUAAUACCUUGCUGUUUUGACGUUACCGACAGGAUAAGCACCGGCUAACUUCGUGCCAGCCGCCGCGGUAACAC